GGGGCAUUAGCUCAUCCGGCUAGAGCGUUAGACUGGCAGUCUAGAGGUGAUCGGUUCGAGUCCGAUAUGCUCCA
rnacentral:tRNA from 1 species